GGUGAGGAAGCCCCGGCUAACUCUGUGCCAGCAGCCGCGGUAAUACAGAGGGGGCAAGCGUUGUUCGGAAUUACUGGGCGUAAAGGGCGCGUAGGCGGCCCGCUAAGUCAGACGUGAAAUCCCUCGGCUCAACCGAGGAACUGCGUCUGAGACUGGUGGGCUCGAAUCCGGGAGAGGGAUGCGGAAUUCCAGGUGUAGCGGUGAAAUGCGUAGAUAUCUGGAGGAACACCGGUGGCGAAGGCGGCAUCCUGGACCGGCAUUGACGCUGAGGCGCGAAAGCCAGGGGAGCAAACGGGAUUAGAUACCCCGGUAGUCCUGGCCCUAAACGAUGAAUGCUUGGUGUGGCGGGUAUCGAUCCCUGCCGUGCCGAAGCUAACGCAUUAAGCAUUCCGCCUGGGGAGUACGGUCGCAAGGCUG
rnacentral:rRNA from 1 species